rnacentral:lncRNA from 1 species
GGAAUAUGGGGGCCUUUGUCUCCGGCUGCAGCUGGAGUUCUACGUCUAGUCUUCAGAGGCCCAGUCUCCGUGACUUUGUGACCUGCAGGUAUUGGGAGAUCCACAGCUAAGAUGCCAGGACCCCCUGGAAGCCUAGAAAUGGUGAGAGUGCCGGGUCCGACAUCCUGAGAAAAGGGAAGGAGUUGAUUGGAACUGGUGGCAAGUGGCUGUGGUGGGACUCGGGUCUCCCGUCAGUCAGCUCCACAGUCUGCGCCCCGAGUUCUCCUUGGCCAACUCAGCCUCAGUCCUCUUCAGCCAUAGCAUGGUGGCUGCGCUGACAGCAGGACCCUGGGCUGAAGGUGUGGGUUGCCCCUCCACACCUGUGGGUGUUUCUCGUUAGGUGGAAGGAGAGACUUGGAAAAGAGAAAGACACAGAGACAAAGUAUAGAGAAAGAAAUAAGGGGACCCAGGGAACCAGCGUUCAGCAUAUGGAGGAUUCCACCAGCCUCUGAGUUCCCUUAGUAGUUAUUGAUCAUUCAUGGGUGUUUCUCCAAGAGGGGGAUGUGUCAGGGUCACAAGACAAUAGUGGGGAGAGGGUCAGCAGACAAACACAUGAACAAAGGUCUUUGCAUCAUAGACAAGGUAAAGAAUCAAGUGCUGUGCUUUUAGAUGUGCAUACACAUAAACAUCUCAAUGCUUUACAAAGCAGUAUUGCUGCCCACAUGUCCCACCUCCAGCCCUAAGGUGGUUUUUUCCUAUCUCAGUCGAUGGAACGUACAAUCAGGUUUUAUACCGAGACAUUCCAUUGCCCAGGGACAGGGAGGAGACAGAUGCCUUCCUCUUGUCUCAACUGCAAGAGGCAUGCCUUCCUCUUAUACUAAUCCUCCUCAGCACAGACCCUUCAUGGGUGUCGGGCUGGGGGGCGGUCAGGUCUUUCCCUUCCCACGAGGCCAUAUUUCAGACUAUCACAUGGGGAGAAACCUUGGACAAUACCUGGCUUUCCUAGGCAGAGGUCCCUGCGGCCUUCCGCAGUUUUUGUGUCCCUGAGUACUUGAGAUUAGGGAGUGGUGAUGACUCUUAAGGAGCGUGCUGCCUUCAAGCAUCUGUUUAACAAAGCACAUCUUGCACAACCCUUAAUCCAUUUAACCCUGAGUUUGACACAGCACAUGUUCCAGAGAGCACAGGGUUGGGGGUAAGAUUAUAGAUUAACAGCAUCUCAAGGCAGAAGAAUUUGUCUUAGUACAAAACAAAAUGGAGUCUCCUAUGUCUGUCUACUUUCUACACAGACACAGUAACAAUCUGAUCUCUCUUGCUUUUCCCCACACUGGGCGUCCUGUCUGCACAGUGACCCAGUGAUGGUCCCCUGGCCUGGAGGCCUCUCUGGGCAGCUCUGCAGCCGCAGCGCCUUGUCUCUGGCCAAUUGUGCAGGGACCAUGGGAGGGUAGUCAGGGGAGAAUCCCGACUCGGGUGAGGGUUCAUGAAUGGGAAGAGUUUUGGUCGGUGGGGUUCCUAGUCCCUCUUUUCAUCUAUUAAAAAUUUAUGGAGUCACCGCAAAAAGAUUAAAGAAUUUAAUCAAAGAGUGGCUCAAAAAUUGUAGAGUACCCAGCUAUGGGUUUUAGUUUGUGGUUCAUGGGAGGAACUUGAAGGAAAGACUUUUAUAAGGUCCAUGAUUAAAAAAAAAAAAACAAAUUCAAUAAUCGGUUAGGUACAGUUACCUACUUUUUUUUGUUUUUUUUUUUGAGACAGUUUUGCUCUGUCACCCAGGCUGAAGUGCAGUGGCGCGAUCUCAGCUCACUGCAACCUCUCGGUGUCAAGCGAUUCUCCUGCCUCAACCUCCCGAGCAGCUGGGACUACAGGGAGUCACGUACUUUCUUAAUUUCCACUUUGAGUGUGUAAAUUUUCUGGUUAUGUAAUCAGAGCUUAAUUGGCCAUUUAUAGUUAGUUGGUUAAGCUUAAAUUUUGUUUUCCCCAAUGCAAUUUACAAAAAUUUACAAAAAAAAAAAAUAUAUGUUUGAGGAUACACACUUCACAAGAGACUGAUUUUUUUUUUCCCCUGAAUUUUUUAAAUGUGUCCCAAGUGCGGUCUCAAGUCUAGCCCUCAUCCCCCAUUCCUCCAGCCUAACUCAGGCUUGAAGUAAAAUACUAAAUUUCCAGUUCCUUCUGACAAUCCCAAAUGCCAGCCUCGUUUCCCUAGUUCACAUUGUCAUCUAUUUGUCCUUUAGUGUAUAUUUUCAAUACUGUAUUUUUUUUUACAAACCACUGGAUGGCACAUUUUAAAAGAUUCAUUUUCUGUUUGUAAAUAUUUCCCAUGAGAAGAAAGCAAAGAAUAACCCCUGACACUGUGUUGUGUAAAAUCUCUGUGCCUCUUUUCCUUUUACCUUCCCUAGGCAGAGAUCUUACCAGAAUGCUUUGGGGUAAAGGUUUUUUUUUGGCGGGGGGAAGCUUUAUUGGGUGAUGUGUCCUCAACCACCCUUUAGUUUUUUCUUGGUCAUCGGUUUCAGUACUGUCUGUGAAUAAACCAUUAUAUCAGCCAUGGCUAUGUCUGCUAGAGUGUCUAGGGAAUCUCAGGUCCUGGGUCAUUUUCUUUCAUAGGACAGCCUGAGGUAUGGAGUGUAGCCUCUCAAGGAAGCAGAUGGAUGCACUGGGGCUGAGAGAAAUCUCCUGGUGUGCUCUUCCUUUAAAAAAGUAACCCCUUGAGACAUUAACAUUGUUUUCACCCAACCCAGCUUUCAUAUCUUGGUGACACAUUGCUGGUCAGCCAAUCAGAGGCUGGUAUUAAGGGGAAAACAGAAAUAAUUUCUGUCCCCUGAAUUCUCUAAGAUUUGUGAAAGAAAAAAUAGUAUCCCCCCUAAAAAAAAAACAAAAGAAAACCUGACCCCAGAGAGAUGCUGCAAAAAUUUCCGAAAGUAAAACCUGGGCCACUCACUGGAACAUAGUGCAGUGUCUCCUGAGAGGUUAGUCAUUGAGCAGUUAAGUGAGCAGGCUGGGGUGGGAGAAUCUCUCACGUGAUUGGAUGACCUGACUUGACACAUAAGUCAGACACAUCUGUUUUUUAAUCAUCACUGCUACACCCUGGGUUCGUCACCUUGAAAAGAUUUGUUCACUUAUAUUGAUUUCAAUUUCUUAAACUGUAAAUUGCAUUUUAUUAGUAGAGCUUGAAAGGUUCAAAAACAUUUACAAAGGGCAUAAAAGUGGUGGGUUUCAAAAAAUAUUAAUAUCUAAUCAUAUAUUUCGUAUGUUAAAAAUUCUUACUUACCUUUUUCUUUCCCAGAGAGAGUUUAGGAAUUUUCUCAGGUGUGUUUUCUGUAGGUGAUUUCAAACAGAAUUCCAAGGCUCAGCUUUUAGAAUGCUACCAAGGAAAAUAAUAGGGAAAAUCUCCUUCGAUUUUGGCUGUAGAAAAUGAAUACAUUUCCACGAGGAAAUAUUGUAGAUAAUUGAUGGAGUUUUGCUCCUGUUGCCCAGGCUGGAAAUGCUAUCGUGUGAUCUUGGCUCACUGCAACCUCCCCAUCCCAGGUUCAAGCAAUUCUCCUGCCUCAGCCUCCCGACUAGCUGGGAUUACAGGCAUGCGCCACCACGCCUGGCUAAUUUUGUAUUUUUAGUAGAGAUGGGGAUUCUCCAUGUUGGCCAGGCUCAUCUCAAACUCCCAACCUGAGGUAAUCCACCCGCCUUGGCCUCCCAAAGUGCUGGGAUUACAGGUGUGAGCCACUGUGUCCGGCACCUUUUUUUUGAGAACAAGAAGAAAAUGUGCAGAGUCUGUGUCUGGCUAUGUGAUAGGUAAGAAAAGACAGCACCAUCUAAGUCAUAAUGGGAAGGGUGUUUCUUUCCAUAAGCUGUUCCUGGAGCACACGAUGGAUGGAUAAUUUUAUUAAUCACAGCUAUUUUCUAGGAUUAUGUAUAAGCUUCAUUUUUUCCCAGCUCUUUUUUUGGUCCUAUAUGUUUUUUCCAUUUGACUUUUCCUGGGUUGUGGCUUUUACAAUAAACUGGUAAACAUGCUGAGUUCUGUGAGUAGCUCUAUCAAAUUAUUGAACUUCAGGGAGCUUAUGGGAGUUCUGAAUUUUUAAACAGUAGCUUACAAGCACAGAUGGGCCCAAGGGGUUUGUGAUUGGCAUCUGCUGUGAGGUCAAUGUAUUGAGACUAAGCCUGGAAUCAGGUUCUGUGCUGACUCUGGGUAGGGUCAGAAUUCAAAUGUUGGACAAUUAGUUGGUGUUGCAGAAUUGCUUGGUGUACAGCUAACUCUACACAUUUGGUGACAGAGAAAAGAUAUGGAAUCCUGGCUUGGACUAAUCGCUCGGUGUCUGGGAAUGGGAGGCUCUGCUCUCCUGUACACAGGCUGUCACGCUGCCCAUUGUCCUGUGAUUCUAGGUCUCCUCCCAGAGUGAGAGAGGAUGAAAACUUAAGGAGCUCUGAUGACAGUCCCCCUUUUCCCACAGCUGCCACCACAGUAUUCCCACCCACUCAUAAACAUACCCACUAGACAUUGACAUGUCCACACCCCUCCCCGGACUAGACACCACCAUCAGGAACUUCACCAUGGCAUUUUUCAUUCUAGUGUUUCUUGCCAAAAACCCACAAAAGUGUCUAUAAGUCUGGCAUAUCCCCACACCCAGACACUGAAUCUGCAGCAGAAACCUGUUUUCUCCACCUAGGGUUCUGGGCCACCUGUUCAUAACCUCAUCAGUCUACAUGGACCCAGAAAUAGCACAAACCAGUUCUUCUGCCUACAUUAGACUCUCCCCCACUAAUGGAGUUUUUACUUUUUAAUGUUUAUUUUUGGUUCAGGGGUACAUGUGCAAGUUUAUUAUAUAGAUAAAACUGUCAUGGAAAUUUGGUAUAGAUUAUUUUAUCACUGAAGUACUAAGCAUAGUACCCAACAGGUAUUUUUUCUGAUCUUUAUCCUUCCACUCUCUACUCCAAAGUGGGCCUCAGUGUCUGUUCCUCUCUUUGUGUCCAUGGUUUCCUUUUCUUUUUCUUUUUUUUUUUUUUAAGACAGAUUCUUGCUCUGUCACCCAGGCUGGAGUGCAGUGGUGCCAUCUCGACUCACUGCAACCUUGGCCUCCUGGGUUCAAGUGAUUAUUCUGCCUCAGCCUCUCAAGUAGCUGGGAUUACAGGCAUGCACCACCAUGCACGGCUAAUUUUUGUAUUUGUAGUAGAGAUGAGGUUUUGCCAUCUUGGCCAGGCUGGUCUUGAACUCCUGACCUCUGGUGAUCUGCCCACUUUGGCCUCCCAAAGUGCUGGGAUUACAGGUGUGAGCCACCGUGCCCAGCCUGUGUCCAUGUUUCCUUUUCUUUUUUUUUCUUUUUCUUUUUUUUUUUUUUUUGAGACAGAGUCUCACUCUGUCUCCCAGGCUGGAGUGCAGUGGCAUGAUGAUCUCGGCUCACUGCAAGCUCCACCCCCCGGGUUCACGCCAUUCUCCUGCCUCAGCCUCCUGAAUAGCCUCCCGAAUAGGUGCCUGCCACCACGCCCAGCUAAUUUUUUUUUUUGUAUUUUUUUUUAGUAGAGACGGGGUUUCACUGUGUUAGCCAGGUUGCUCUUGAUCUCCUGACCUCGUGAUCCACCUGUCUCAGCCUCCCAAAGUGCUGGGAUUACAGGCGUGAGCCACCGCACCUGGCCUCAUGUUUUCUUGUUAUUAUCUCUUAACUUAUAAAUAAGAACAUGCGUUUGGUUUUCUCUUUCUGUAUUAGUUUUCUAAGGAUAAUGGGCUUCAGCUCUGUUCAUGUUGCUGCAAAGGACAUAAUCUUGUUCUUUUUUUAUGGCCACACAGUAUUCCAUGAUGUUUAUGUACCAUAUUUUCUUUUAAAUAUUUUAUUUUAUUUUGGGGGGAGACCCAGGCUGGAGUCUGGGCGCCCACUGUCCUGUGAUGGGCACAAUCUUGGCUCACUGAAGCCUCAACAUCUUGCAUUCAAGCAAUCCUCCUACCUCAGCUCUCCAAGUAGCUGGGGCUACAGGUGCACACCACCACGACUGGCUAAUUUUUCUUUCUGUAUUUUUUGUAGACCAACAAAUGUUGCCUUGGUUGGUCUCAAACUCGAACUUAGGCAAUCCAUCUGUUUUGACCUCCCACAUUCUGGAAUUAUAAGCAUGAGCCACUUUGCCCAGCCAUACCAUAUUUUCUUUAUCCAGUCUGCCAUUUUUGAUGAGCAUGUUGAUUCCAUGUCUUUGCUAUUGUGAAUAGUGCCACAGUGAACAUGCAUGUCUAUGACAGAAUAACUUAUAUUUCUUUGGGCAUAUACCCAAUUAUGAGGUUGCUGGGUCAAAUGGUAAUUCUGUCUUUAAUUCUGUGAGGAAUCACCACACUGGUUUUCACGAUGGUUGAACUAAUUUACACUCCCACCAGCAGUGUGUAAGCAUUCCCUUUUCUCCACAACCUUGCCAGCAUCUGUCAUUUUUUAACUUUUGAGUAAUAGCCAUUCUGACUGGUGUGAGAAAGUAUUUUGCUGUGGUUUUUCUUUGCAUAUCUCUACUGAUUGGUGAUGAGCAUUUUUUCAUAUGCUUUUAGCCACACACAUGUCUUUUUUUAAAAAGCAUCUGUUCAGGCCGGACGUGGUGGCUCACGCCUGUAAUCCCAGCACUUUGGGAGGCCGAGGCAGGUGGAUCACGACGUCAAGAGU